UUGGGGACCCCUCUUCCCCUCUCAUUUGCUCUCUCUCCAUCUCACACUCUUUCCCUCUCUCUCUCUAGAAAGAAAAGAAAGAGAAGAAGGAGAAGAAGAAGAAGAAGGAAAAGAAGAGAGAAAGAGAAGAUCAAGAAGGAGAAGAGAAGAAGAUCAUCUUCUUCCCUCUCUCCUUCAAGCUAGAGCAAGCUUGGAGCCUUGGUUUGAAAGUAAGCUCUAGACCCUCUAAUGGUAGUUCUAGGGUUUGGGAUUUUUUGUUGUUUAGAGAUGGUUCGAAUGGAACAUAGAGGAGAUAAAUAGGUGGUUCGAGCUUGAAAUCGAA
rnacentral:lncRNA from 1 species